GACGAACGCUGGCGGCGUGCUUAACACAUGCAAGUCGAACGAAGUGGCGAACGGGUGAGUAACGCGUAAUCAACCUGCCCUUCAGAGGGGGACAACAGUUGGAAACGACCGCUAAUACCGCAUAUCGAAGGAGGGGUUUGCGUCUGAUUAGCUGGUGGGUGGGGUAACGGCCCACCAAGGCGAUGAUCAGUAGCCGGUCCGGGAGGAUGAACGGCCACAUUGGGACUGAGGCACGGCCCAGACUCCUACGGGGGGCAGCAGUGGGGAAUCUUCCGCAAUGGACGAAAGUCUGACGGAGCAACGCCGCGGGGGUGAUGACGGCCUUCGGGUUGUAAAGCUCUGUUAAUCGGGACGCGGUACCGGAAUAGAAAGCCACGGCUAACUACGUGCCAGCAGCCGCGGUAAUUC
rnacentral:rRNA from 1 species